rnacentral:misc_RNA from 1 species
UUUUCGUAGGUUAACUUGUGGAAGGAUCAUUGUCGUGACCUUGACCAAAAUAGAUCGCGCACGCGUCAUCCAUUCCACCGGUGAUGGCACCAUCCAUUGCUCGGCUAACUCCUUGAUCGCCUCCCCUCCAUGGAGUGGGGGCUCGGGGUAAAAGAACCCACGGCGACGAAGGCGUCAAGGAACACUAUGCCUAACCCAGGGGCAUGGCUAGCUUGCUUGUCGUCCCCCGUGUUGCAAAGCUAUUUAAUCCACAUUACUCUCGGUAACAGAUAUCUUGGCUCUU